UUUUCGCCCAUAGCAAAGAGGAUGAGAACCUCCGAAGGAGGUUUGCGCCGAGCGCAGCGAGACAACGUUGCGCAGCAACGGCCCGAAGGGCGCUUAUCGAAGAUAAGCGUCAUCCUCUCUCACCGACCA
rnacentral:sRNA from 1 species